rnacentral:rRNA from 1 species
AUUGAACGCUAGCGGCAGGCUUAACACAUGCAAGUCGAACGAGUGGCGGACGGGUGAGUAAUAUAUCGGAAAGUGCCCGAUGGCGGGGGAUAACUACUCGAAAGGGUGGCUAAUACCGCAUACUAUUGGAUGUGCCGAUAUCGGAUUAGCUAGUUGGUGGGGUAACGGCUCACCUAGGCAACGAUCCCUAGCUGGUAUGAGAGGAUGACCAGCCACACUGGAACUGAGACACGGUCCAGACUCCUACGUGAGGCAGCAGUGGGGAAUAUUGGACAAUGGGCGAAAGCCUGAUGCAGCCAUCCCGCGUGUAUGAAGAAGGCCUUCGGGUUGUAAAGUACUUUUGGCAGAGAGGCGGUAUUUGCAGAAGAAGCACCGGCUAACUCCGUGCCAGCAGCCGCGGUAAUAC